AACCUUAAACUCAAGUCUGAUCAGUUGCUUCUGUUUGCUAGUACUAUGAAAAAAACGUCGCUAUCGGAGAGGUUUAAAUGCUAAAACAAACUCUGGAGCUGCUUCUUUGUCGAACAGGAGUGAGGCUGGACGCUGAACACACCUGUGGCGCAAAGGUUUACUCGUUCAGCUGCUGCAGCCUGACCAGAAAUACCAGCUCUCAUCUUACAAACCAAUCAGGUGUCACCACUUCAUCCACGAUUGCAGAGUCUUUGUACAAUGAAGUUCUUUGAAACCAGGACAGAGGCCUCCAGGAUUCAAAUUUUAACCAUUAAAUGAAGGGAAGAGACAGACGUGGAGACAUUUCCAGAAGUUGAUGUUAAAAUGCUCGUGGAUUACCUGGAGUCUUCUGUCCUGGUCUCAAAGAACGUCAUUGUAUGAAGACAGUCUGUGAUAGUGGACAACAUCUCAUCGAUCAUGGACAAUGUCAUGGAUGAAGUGGUGACACCUAGAGGAAAUC